rnacentral:rRNA from 1 species
GACGAACGCUGGCGGCGUGCUUAACACAUGCAAGUCGAACGAAGAGCGACGGAAGCUUGCUUCUAUCAAUCUUAGUGGCGAACGGGUGAGUAACGCGUAAUCAACCUGCCCUUCAGAGGGGGACAACAGUUGGAAACGACUGCUAAUACCGCAUACGAUCUAAUCUCGGCAUCGAGGAUGGAUGAAAGGUGGCCUCUACAUGUAAGCUAUCACUGAAGGAGGGGGUUGCGUCUGAUUAGCUAGUUGGAGGGGUAACGGCCCACCAAGGCGAUGAUCAGUAGCCGGUCUGAGAGGAUGAACGGCCACAUUGGGACUGAGACACGGCCCAGACUCCUACGGGAGGCAGCAGUGGGGAAUCUUCCGCAAUGGACGAAAGUCUGACGGAGCAACGCCGCGUGAGUGAUGACGGCCUUCGGGUUGUAAAGCUCUGUUAAUCGGGACGAAAGGCCUUCUUGCGAAUAGUGAGAAGGAUUGACGGUACCGGAAUAGAAAGCCACGGCUAACUACGUG